UACGUAGGGUGCGAGCGUUGUCCGGAAUUAUUGGGCGUAAAGAGUUCGUAGGCGGUUUGUCGCGUCCGUUGUGUAAAGCUUGGGGACUUCGAACCCCAAGUCACUAGCAGUGGAUACGGGCAGACUAGAGUUCGGUAGGGUAGACGUGGAAUUCCUGGUGUAGCGGUGAAAUGCGCAGAUAUCAGGAGGAACACCGAUGGCGAAGGCAGGUCUCUGGGCCGAUACUGACGCUGAGGAGCGAAAGCGUGGGGAGCGAACAGG
rnacentral:rRNA from 1 species